rnacentral:rRNA from 1 species
GAACGAAGUAGCAAUACUUAGUGGCAGACGGGUGAGUAACAUGUAGGUAUCUGCCCUUUGGCCUGGAAUAACACGAGGAAACUUGUGCUAAUACCGGAUAAGUCUUUACGGAGAAAGCUUUAUGCACCAUUGGAUGAGCCUGCACUUGAUUAGUUUGUUGGUGGGGUAAUGGCCUACCAAGACUGUGAUCAAUAGCUGAUUUGAGAGGAUGAUCAGCCACAUUGGGACUGAGACACGGCCCAAACUCCUACGGGAGGCAGCAGUGGGGAAUCUUGCACAAUGGAGGAAACUCUGAUGCAGCGAUGCCGCGUGAGUGAAGAAGGCCCUUGGGUUGUAAAGCUCCUUCGUCGGGGAAGAAAAUGACUGUACCCGAAUAAGAAGGUCCGGCUAACUUCGUGCCAGCAGCCGCGGUAAUACGAAGGGACCUAGCGUAGUUCGGAAUUACUGGGCUUAAAGAGUUCGUAGGUGGUUGAAAAAGUUGGUGGUGAAAUCCCAGAGCUUAACUCUGGAACUGCCAUCAAAACUUUUCAGCUAGAGUAUGAUAGAGGAAAGCAGAAUUUCUAGUGUAGAGGUGAAAUUCGUAGAUAUUAGAAAGAAUACCAAUUGCGAAGGCAGCUUUCUGGAUCAUUACUGACACUGAGGAACGAAAGCAUGGGUAGCGAAGAGGAUUAGAUACCCUCGUAGUCCAUGCCGUAAACGAUGUGUGUUAGACGUUGGAAAUUUAUUUUCAGUGUCGCAGCGAAAGCGAUAAACACACCGCCUGGGGAGUACGACCGCAAGGUUAAAACUCAAAUGAAUUGACGGGGACCCGCACAAGUAGUGGAGCAUGUGGUUUAAUUCGAAGAUACGCGCAGAACCUUACCAACACUUGACAUGUUCGUCGCGACUCUAAGAGAUUAGAGUUUUCGGUUCGGCCGGACGAAACACAGGAGCUGCAUGGCUGUCGUCAGCUCGUGUCGUGAGAUGUUGGGUUAAGUCCCGCAACGAGCGCAACCCUCACUUUUAGUUGCCAUCAUUAAGUUGGGCACUCUGAAAGAACUGCCAGUGAUAAGCUGGAGGAAGGUGGGGAUGACGUCAAGUCCUCAUGGCCCUUACGUGUUGGGCUACACACGUGCUACAAUGGUAUCUACAACAGGAAGCAAGACUGCGAAGUUAAGCAAAUCCCUAAAAGAUACCUCAGUUCGGAUUGCACUCUGCAACUCGAGUGCAUGAAGCUGGAAUUACUAGUAAUCGUGGAUCAG